rnacentral:piRNA from 1 species
UUAAUAAAAAAUAAAAUUUAU